rnacentral:tRNA from 1 species
GCGCCCGUAGCUCAGCUGGAUAGAGCAGGGGCCUUCUAAUCCUCAGGUCGCAGGUUCGAGUCCUGCCGGGCGCACCA